rnacentral:tRNA from 2 species
GGGGAUGUAGCUCAGUGGUAGAGCGUCCGCUUUGCAUGCGGAAGGUCCGGGGUUUGAUCCCCCGCGUCUCCA